rnacentral:rRNA from 1 species
CAGUAGCCACGGUAAUACGAAGGGGGCUAGCGUUGUUCGGAAUUACUGGGCGUAAAGGGCGCGUAGGCGGCCAUUCAAGUUAGAUGUGAAAGCCCUGGGCUCAACCUAGGAAUUGCAUUUGAUACUGUUUGGCUUGAGUUCGGGAGAGGUGAGUGGAAUUCCCAGUGUAGAGGUGAAAUUCGUAGAUAUUGGGAAGAACACCAGUGGCGAAGGCGGCUUACUGGCUCAUUCUAGACGCUGAGGUGCGAAAGCGUGGGGAGCAAACAGGAUUAGAUACCCCUGUAGUCCCUGUCUCUUAUAC